rnacentral:rRNA from 1 species
GUAGGUGGCAAGCGUUGUCCGGAAUUAUUGGGCGUAAAGCGCGCGCAGGCGGUUCUUUAAGUCUGAUGUGAAAGCCCACGGCUCAACCGUGGAGGGUCAUUGGAAACUGGAGAACUUGAGUACAGAAGAGGAAAGCGGAAUUCCACGUGUAGCGGUGAAAUGCGUAGAGAUGUGGAGGAACACCAGUGGCGAAGGCGGCUUUCUGGUCUGUAACUGACGCUGAGGCGCGAAAGCGUGGGGAGCAAACAGGGAUUAGAUACCCUGGUAGUCCACGCCGUAAACGAUGAGUGCUAAGUGUUAGGGGGGUUUUCCGGCCCCCUUAGUGCUGCAGCUAACGCAUUAAGCACUCCGCCUGGGGAGUACGGCCGCAAGGCUG